rnacentral:miRNA from 1 species
AGUGGGGUCUGGGGAUGAGGACUGUGUCUCUCAGAAUCAGAAGACAAGCUCCAGAGCCCACUG